UCCAGGAGUAGGAAGGCGGCCCUACCCCUAUCAGUAGCGUGGUGGGCGAGCCGCCAGCAGCAUAUAUAUUUCAUACAGCCACCGCAACGCGACUCUGGUCUGGUCGUUUCUGCCACCGCCUCUACGUUAGCCCCAAGCACAGUGGAAGAGAUCGGGCGUUUCCCCUCGUGGUGUUGCACUUGCAGUGUGGUGAGUGAGAUUUUACAUAUUAUAAGCUUUUUCACGAUAGAGUGGUGCUGUGUAUUUGCCGUGGGUUGCCGUGUGUCUUGUCAGAGGAACCCCGCACCAUCCAUUCUCUCCCUUGGAAGGAGGACGCCGGGGCCAACGACCGUAGACCUUAUUGCCAUCAUACGCGGUGUGCUGUUCAAGAGAGUGAAGAGACGCAGGCCAAGUACUGUGGAGGACUGUGAGUAUUAUAGUGGAAGCAAUUGUGGUGUAAACUUACCUGUGUGUGUGUCAUCGCAGAGUCGGAGGCGAACGGGUCCGCUGCCCCCGGGUCCCUACGAAAGGGCGCCCUUAUCUGGGAUUUGAUCAGCCUACGGACAGUGGCGAUAAGGCAGCGCUCGACCCGGCGAGGUGGUGUGUGACCUUCGCCCCCCUGCUGACCUACAGAAGGAACGACCGUGAGUAACAUAGUAAAAGCAAUUGUGGUAUAAGCUUACCUGUGUUUGUAUCAUCGCAGAGUCGGAGGCGAACGGGUCCGCUACCCCCGUGGUCUCUACGAAAGGGCGCCCCUAUCCGGAAUUCGAUCGGCCCACGGACCGUGGGGAUAGGGCGGCGCUCGACCCGGCGAGGUGGUGUGUGGCCUUCGCCCCCCUGCUGACCAACAGUAAAGAGCCGACUGUGAACGUGAUACUUACCCCGAGAGCUGUAAGCAGCGGAGCUGGUGAGAACCAUUCAAAGACCAAUAACAGUGUUUCUGUGUCCUAGCGAUCACCUGUGGAGAGAGAAAGGAAAACGAGAGAGAGUCAGUAAAGAGCCGACUGUGAACGUGAUACUUACCCCGAGAGCUGUAAGCAGCGGAGCUGGUGAGAACCAUUCAAAGACCAAUAACAGUGUUUCUGUGUCCUAGCGAUCACCUGUGGAGAGAGAAAGGAAAACGAGAGAGAGUCAGUAAAGAGCCGACUGUGAACGUGAUACUUACCCCGAGAGCUGUAAGCAGCGGAGCUGGUGAGAACCAUUCAAAGACCAAUAACAGUGUUUCUGUGUCCUAGCGACCACCUGUGGAGAGAGAAAGGAAGACGAGAGAGAGUCAGUAAAGAGCCGACUGUGAACGUGAAACUUACCCCGAGAGCUGUAAGCAGCGGAGCUGGUGAGAACCAUUCAAAGACCAAUAACAGUGUUUCUGUGUCCUAGCGAUCACCUGUGGAGAGAGAGAAGAAGACAAGAUGGCCGCCUGUGGAAAGAGAAGAAGGCGAGAGUAAGCCAUUGGGCACGGACAGUGGAGAAACCCCUAACAGCCACACCAGAAGUUGUCUGCCUCCAGGAAGAGAAGAAGGAGGGCGCCACGGCCAGCAGGGUCCAGGCGGGAGCCUGACGUUUCCUUUCCCCCGUUGAUGGUGGUUGGCACCCCCGUUUUCCCAUCCCUGUCACCCGUGGCUGUAGUCUCCCUGGAGGGAGUAGAAGAAGCCAUUAGUUUUAAAAUUCCCCUUUCCCCGAAAUUUCCCCCCCAUCCUUUUAAGUAUUUAAGAUUUCAAUAAAGCUUGUUUUAAAUUUUA